GCCUCUGUAGCUUAGCUGGUAGAGCAACAGUUUGAAGCACUGUGGACGCCGGUUCGAUUCCGGACGGAGGCCCGA
rnacentral:tRNA from 1 species